UUCUUCGGGGCGGGGUGAAAUUCCCCACCGGCGGUAAAGCCCGCGAGCCGCUUCGGCGGUUGAUUUGGUGAAAUUCCAAAGCCGACGGUACAGUCCGGAUGAAAGAAGAA
rnacentral:ncRNA from 1 species